AGCUACCGCUAUUGGAGUUCGAUUAAGCCAUGCGAGUCGCGAGAAAUUAGAUUCUCGGCGUACCGCUCAGUAACACGUGGGUAACCUGCCCUAUGCUGGAUAAUAACCUCGGGAAACUGAGAAUAAUGAUCCAUAGUUCACUACGCCUGGAACGGUGAGUGGAUGAAAGCUCCGGCGGCAUAGGAUGGGCCUGCGGCGUAUCAGGUUGUAGGGGGUGUAACGUACCCUCUAGCCCUCUACGCGUACGGGUGUUGGGAGACAUAGCCCGGAGAUGGAUUCUGAGACACGAAUCCAGACCCUACGGGGUGCAGCAGGCGCGAAAACUUGGCAAUGCGAGAAAUCGUGACCAGGGAACUCCAAGUGCAUCGGGUAAGACCGGUGCUUUUCUUGACUCUAAAUAGGUCUUGGAAUAAGGGGUGGGUAAGGACGGUGCCAGCCGCCGCGGUAAUACCGGCGCCUCAAGUGGUAGUCGCUUUUAUUGGGCCUAAAACGUCCGUAGCCGGUCUGAUACAUUCGUGGGUAAAUCAACCAGCUCAACUGGUUGAAUUCUGCGAGGACGGUCAGACUUGGGACCGGGAGAGGUGUGGGGUACGCUCAGGGUAGGGGUAAAAUCCUGUCAUCCUGAGCGGACCACCUGUUGCGAAGGCGCCACACUAGAACGGAUCCGACGGUCAGGGACGAAGCCUAGGGGCACGAACCGGAUUAGAUACCCGGGUAGUCCUAGGUGUAAACGCUGUGGACUUGAUGUUGGGGGUGCUCCGAGCACUCUCAGUGUCGAAGCGAAGGUGAUAAGUCCACUGCCUGGGAAGUACGGUCGCAAGGCUGAAACUUAAAGGAAUUGGCGGGGGAGCACCGCAACCUGAGGAUUGUGCGGUUU
rnacentral:rRNA from 1 species